rnacentral:rRNA from 1 species
AUUGAACGCUGGCGGCAGGCCUAACACAUGCAAGUCGAGCGGAUGAAGGGAGCUUGCUCCUGGAUUCAGCGGCGAACGGGUGAGUAAUGCCUAGGAAUCUGCCUGGUAGUGGGGGAUAACGUCCGGAAACGGGCGCUAAUACCGCAUACGUCCUGAGGGAGAAAGUGGGGGAUCUUCGGACCUCACGCUAUCAGAUGAGCCUAGGUCGGAUUAGCUAGUUGGUGGGGUAAAGGCCUACCAAGGCGACGAUCCGUAACUGGUCUGAGAGGAUGAUCAGUCACACUGGAACUGAGCCACGGUCCAGACUCCUACGGGAGGCAGCAGUGGGGAAUAUUGGACAAUGGGCGAAAGCCUGAUCCAGCCAUGCCGCGUGUGUGAAGAAGGUCUUCGGAUUGUAAAGCACUUUAAGUUGGGAGGAAGGGCAGUAAGUUAAUACCUUGCUGUUUUGACGUUACCAACAGAAUAAGCACCGGCUAACUUCGUG